AGGUUACUGCUAUCGGUGUUCGCCUAAGCCAUGCGAGUCAUAUGUUCGUAAGAACAUGGCGUACUGCUCAGUAACACGUGGAUAACCUGCCCUUGGGUCCGGCAUAACCCCGGGAAACUGGGGAUAAUUCCGGAUAACGCACAUAUGCUGGAAUGCUUUAUGCGUAAAAUGGAUUCGUCUGCCCAAGGAUGGGUCUGCGGCCUAUCAGGUAGUAGUGGGUGUAACGUACCUACUAGCCUACGACGGGUACGGGUUGUGAGAGCAAGAGCCCGGAGAUGGAUUCUGAGACAUGAAUCCAGGCCCUACGGGGCGCAGCAGGCGCGAAAACUUUACAAUGCGGGAAACCGUGAUAAGGGGACACCGAGUGCCAGCAUCCUAUGCUGGCUGUCCGGGUGUGUAAAAUACACCUGUUAGCAAGGGCCGGGCAAGACCGGUGCCGGCCGCCGCGGUAACACCGGCGGCCCGAGUGGUGAUCGUGAUUAUUGGGUCUAAAGGGUCCGUAGCCGGUUUGGUCAGUCCUCCGGGAAAUCUGACAGCUUAACUGUUAGGCUUUCGGAGGAUACUGCCAGACUUGGAACCGGGAGAGGUAAGAGGUACUACAGGGGUAGGAGUGAAAUCUUGUAAUCCCUGUGGGACCACCUGUGGCGAAGGCGUCUUACCAGAACGGGUUCGACGGUGAGGGACGAAAGCUGGGGGCACGAACCGGAUUAGAUACCCGGGUAGUCCCAGCCGUAAACGAUGCUCGCUAGGUGUCAGGCAUGGCGCGACCGUGUCUGGUGCCGCAGGGAAGCCGUGAAGCGAGCCACCUGGGAAGUACGGCCGCAAGGCUGAAACUUAA
rnacentral:rRNA from 1 species